AUGGUUUGGACACAUCCAGAGGAGGGAGAGUGAGUAUAUUGCUUGAAGGGUGUUGAGGAGGGAGCUGCCGGGCAAGAGAACUACAGGAAGACCACAGAGAACGCUGAUAGAUGUAGUGAGGGAAGACAUGAGGGCAGUUGGUGUUAAGAGAGGAGGAUGCAGGAGAUAGACUGAUGGUCCGCUCAGCAUUUCGCACAACCCUGUGGUGCGGGGUUGUGACCUCUGGACAUGACCCUCAAACAUCUCAGACACCCGAAGUCACGUGUACAAGCCACCUGCCUUGUCAAAAGCUGUGGGACUUGGCCGGAAAGGACCAUAUUCACAGAUCUCCCCGAACAUGAUGUCAUGCGACAAAAACGCCAGGAAACAUGAUCUCACUUUGUUUUCACCGGAUGUGAUGUCAUUUUGUUUUUGCCGGGUGUGACGUCAUUUUGUUUUUACCGGAUGUGACGUCAUUGCACAUGUGCGCUGGCACGCUGCCAAGUGAUGACGUCAUAGGCCAGCCAUCAUUUUGUCAUUUUCCCUAGGUGAUGUCAACAGACACGUGCCCUGGCACGCUGCCAAGUGAUGACAUCAUAGGCAAUACAUAAUUUUGACUAGAUCCCUAUAUUCUACCUCUCUAACUUUCUUUUUGGCUUAAUUCCCAACACCAUUUUUUAAAUCGUUUUUUGACUUUCUGGCAUAGGAUGUCCGAGACAUUGUAAAUUGUUCUCUUCAGAUCGGGGUCUUUUCUCGUGCUUUUAAGAUGGCCACUGUAAGGCCCCUUCUGAAUAAAAAUAAUUUAGACACGCCAGAGCUGACGAAUUACAGAUGACUGUCCAAUCUGCCUUUUUUAAGGGUCAGAGGACACAGAUGUUAAAACAUUUCUUGAUAACUCUAGAUCCCCUUUACAAACCACAUCUGCCAUCUGCCACAUCUAGCGCCUUCCGGUCUUCGGCUUUAUCUGGCGCUGUGACGUAAAACGUAGUGUUGUUUCGUUCGUGAACGUUUCGUUCAGAAAAAUGAAUCUUUUCACUGAAUGACCUGAACCGAAUCAGUUUAUGAAAUGAUGCGUUCUUUUAGCUUGGCCGUGAGGCGAGCGAGUCGGUUGGGAGUGGAAACGGAACUGUUGAAGCGUUCUGUCACUCACUUCUGAAUCUGCGGCGAAUGACCAAUGAGCAGCCAGCGUGCAGGCAGGGGCAGGUCUUCGUUAAACGUACUGCAAUGUGAUUUCUGAUUCGCCAGCGUUGUCACUCAUUCGGCGAAUGACCAAUGAGCAGCCAGCGUCUGGCAGCGCCGUGCAGGUGGGGGAGGGACUUAAGUGAACUGAGUGAUUUGUUCAGUGAACUGGUGUACUGAAGAACUGAAGAGUGAUUCGUUCAGUGAACUGGUGUACUGAAGAACUGAAGAGUGAUUAGUUCAGGGGAGGGACUUAAGUGUACUGAGUGAUUCAUUCAGUGAACUGGUGUAAUGAGGAACUGAAGAGUGAUUCGUUCGUUGAACUUAUUAUUCGCGAUCUGUUAGACACAAGUGAUUCGUUCGUUGAACUUUGUUUGUAAUCCGCUAAAGAGCGAUGUACAAGUACGAUGAAUGAUUCAUUUGCGCAAGGAACGAUGUACUACGCAGUGAACGUACUCGAGUGAUUUUAACCGCAAGUCCUGACGUCCUUGCGGGGAUAGCUUUCCUUUCACUUGCAGCCGUUUCUUCAAGCUCACGGCUAAUCUUGAGUCAGUCAAGCACAAGAAAACAAGCACACAUAUUUAAAAUAAAUGUAAACUAAUA